rnacentral:lncRNA from 10 species
CCCAGUUGCCUUGGUAACCGUGUACGCGGGCUCGGCGCCGCGUUCUCGGAAAUCCUCGCGAGCAGUACAUUCUCCGGCUGCUGCGGGUCUCUCAGGGCCAGCGAAGGUCAGGGGUACCCGAAGGCGCUUCUAACCUAACGGCUGGGUACCCGCGCGCAGCCAGGCCCUUUGUUCCUCAGAGGGUGCGAGGUGGCACAGCCCCGCAGCGCCCGAUCUGCCCACGCAGGGCGGAUGAACGGAAACCCACCCUGGCCUAGCUUGGGGACACCAAUGCUUCUGCUGUUGCCCACGCCGGGAGCGGCCCCCAGCCCCAGCUACGCUGCCCAGUUGUGGAUCACUUGAGACCGCUGCCACCACCACGCCGGGCUGAGUUCCCCGCCAUGCCGAAGACUCAGACCCGCUCCCCUUCCCCUCCUCUGCAUGCCUUUAGCUUCCCACCAAGCUGGGCCUGAGAAACAAGGGACCCGAACCUGGAGAGGCCGGUGUUCCUGGACUGCUCUGCAGUCACAGAUUGUCACGGAGCCCCUGGUUGUCUGAGGACCCCAGGCCUGAACCUUCCUUGAGGAAGACUGAUUUCUUUCAGACUACUUUGCUCAGUUUGAUUUUAAACAGAAGGCUAAUAAUUAUCCAGAAGAGACAGGAUGAGGCUUGGACAAAGGAGGUGGAGGGUAUCAAAAGAUAUUUAGAAGAUAAAGGAAGUCUGGACUUGGUGCUGUGGGUGAGUGGGAAAAAGGGAGGGUCAGGAUGGCUGUUAGAUUAUGGGGGCUCUGACAGCUGGAGGUCUGGGGCAUUCUGCUUAUAAUAGGCCUUCUGCAUAGGGGACUUACUAUAUAAGUAACAACGGGGUAGUCACAUUUCAUGUCCUGAACUGAUAAACAGUGAGUAGCCUUUCCUGUCAUUUUCCAUGACCUUGGUUCACAGAAGCCUGCCCUAUAGAGACGCUAUUUCUGCCUGCUCACAAAACCGAUAUUUAGAGCCAGCCAGUGGCCAUAGGAGGUACUGCUGGUGAUGAGGUGUCCCCCCAAGUGACUACUCACUCCAGGACUGGGACCCACAAGUACUAAGAUUUGAACUCUUAAUAAAAGGAGUUAAAAAUCGUUUUUUUAUCAUGGACAAAUUCAAACAUGACAAAAUAAAGAAAAUAGCCGGGUGCGGUGGCUCAUGCCUGUAAUCCCAGCACUUUGGGAGGCCGAGGUGGGCAGAUCACGAGGUCAGGAGUUCGAGACCCUGGCCAACAUGGUGAAACCCAGUCACUACUAAAAAUACAAAUAUUAGCUGCAUGGUGGCAGGUGCCUGUAAUCCCAGCUAAUCGGGAGGCUGAGGCAGCAGAAUCAUUUGAACCUGAGAGGUGGAGGUUGCAGUGAGCUGAGAUCGUGCCAUUGCACUGCAACCUGGGUGACAGGGCAAGACUCCUUCAAAAAGAGGGGAGGGGAGGGGAGGGGGAAAGGUGAGGGAGUGGGGAGAGGGAAGGAUGGGGGAGCCGAGGGGAGGGGAGAUAAUGAACACUUCUAUUCUGCUUCAACAAUUAUCAACACAUGGCCAACUUUGUUUCAGGUAUACCCUCCCUCAUGGCACACACCAGGUUAUUUUGAAGCAAAUCCUAGACGUCAUCAAACAGUUCAAAUUGCCCAAGUGUCUCCUACACACUUCUUUUUUCUUUUACAGUUUGUUUGAAUCUGGGUCCAAAUAAAGUCCACACAUUGCACCUGGUUGUCAUGUCUCGCUCAUCUUGGGUCCUGCCUCCUCUCUACCCCCUCACCUCCUUUCUCCUUCUUUUCUUUUCUUGCAAUUUAUCAGUUGAAGGCAUUGAGCCAUUUCUGGGCCUUAUUCUUGUGAUGUGAUUUAACAUGUUCCUCCAUGCCCUGCAUGUCCUGUAAACUGGUUCUUAGAUCCAGUGGUUGGUUAGUCUCACGUUCAGUUUUCUGGUAAAAACACAUCAUGAGUGACGGUUUGUUCUCCUGAUUCCAUUGCAUCAGGACGCCUGCUUUUCCCUGUUUUUCUAGUGUUUAGGCUGAGCAUUGGGUUCAGGUGUAGUCAGACUAGGCAACAAUUAUAAAAUUCCCCGUCCGUUUUUCACCUAAUGGUUUAGUUGAUCAUCACUGCCUAGCUCUAUUAUUUCAUUAGGAGUUGCAAAAUUGGGAUGUCCUAAUUCUGUCAUUCUGCAGUAAGAACUUGCCAUCAUCAAUUUGUUUACCAUGAGAUACAGGUCAUACAGGAAAGGCAGGAUAAAUGUGUGGGUUUUUUCUUAUGAUUUACCAGUUUUCAGAAAAAUGAGUUGGUUCUCUAGCAUCUUGAAAAAGUAAUUAGUUGUUUUUAAUAUCAUUAUGAACUUGUACAUUUUAACAUCUUUUGUGUAUUUCAAUCCAUUGCAGUUAUUCUUUUUGAUGUUCAAAUUGUCCCAAUUUUGGUCGGUGGGAGCUUCUUCUGGUUGGUGCCUAAGCUUGCUUUCUUUCUUUUUUUUUGAGACGGAGUUUCGCUCUUGUUGCCCAGGCUGGAGUGCAAUGGCGCGAUCUCGGCUCACCGCAACCUCCGCCUCCCGAGUUCAAGAGAUUCUCCUGCCUCAGCCUCCCGAGUAGCUGGAAUUACAGGCAUGCGCCACCACACCCGGCUAAUUUUGUAUGUUUAGUAGAAACAGGGUUUCUACAUGUUGGUCAGGCUGGUCUAGAACUCCCGACGUCAGGUGAUCCACCCGCCUCGGCCUCCCAAAGUGCUGGGAUUACAGGCGUGAGCCACCAUGCCCGGCUCCGUCUCCUCCUCCUCCUCCUCUUCUUCCAGACAGAGCCAGACUCCAUCUCAAAAAAAAAAAAAAAAAAAAGAAAAAGACGAUUAUCUGACUAUUCGGGUGGCAGGGAGAUUAGAGAGGAGCCUGCUACAACAAUCCAGCAAGAGAGGCUGAGGGGUUGUCAGUGGGAUGGGGAAGGAUGGUUGACAGGGGGAUUAUUGAGGAAAUGGAAUUGACAGGAUGUGGUGACUGGAAGUAAGACGGUAGGGGGAGGGAAGAAUCAAG